AACGUAGGUUCCGAGCGUUAUCCGGAUUUACUGGGCGUAAAGCGCGUUCAGGCGGUUUGGCAAGUCGGGCAUGAAAUCUCUCGGCUCAACCGGGAGAGGUUGCCCGAUACUGCUGGACUUGAGGGCAGUAGAGGGUGGUGGAAUUCCGGGUGUAGUGGUGAAAUGCGUAGAUAUCCGGAGGAACACCAGUGGCGAAAGCGGCCACCUGGACUGCACCUGACGCUGACACGCGAAAGCUAGGGGAGCGAACGGG
rnacentral:rRNA from 1 species